rnacentral:rRNA from 1 species
CAGUAGCCGCGGUAAUACGUAGGGUGCGAGCGUUAAUCGGAAUUACUGGGCGUAAAGCGAGCGCAGACGGUUAUUUAAGCAGGAUGUGAAACCCCCGGGCUUAACCUGGGAACUGCGUUCUGAACUGGAUAGCUAGAGUGUGUCAGAGGGGGGUAGAAUUCCACGUGUAGCAGUGAAAUGCGUAGAGAUGUGGAGGAAUACCGAUGGCGAAGGCAGCCCCCUGGGAUAACACUGACGUUCAUGCUCGAAAGCGUGGGUAGCAAACAGGAUUAGAUACCCGCGUAGUCCCUGUCUCUUAUAA